CAUCCCCGAACAUCUAUAAAACAUCACAGUUUUCUUUGUUGGACUCUCCUAGCCUAUUUUUCUCGAUCGUCCGAUUUAAAUCGGAGGGCCCAAAUAGCCUCUAAUCUAAUCCCAUGAGAUAUAUGCUAGUCCAACCCUAGAAAUUAGGAGCCUUGCCCCAUCAGUCCCAUCCCGCCGCCGCCAGCAUCUCCCACCUCGGGAUCCCUCCAGAUCCACCCUCUCUCCCUCGAUUUCCCGAUCAGGCCAACCACCUCCUUCCCUCGAUCCACCCAAUCCCGCAACCGAGGCCCGAGCUCCUCUCGCUCGAUCCCUCCUCGAGCAUCUGCCUCUGCCCGAGCUCCUACCGCAGCUCCCCAUCACCCUCGACUCCGAGCGCCCCUGCAGCCUCCCGCGUCUGAUCCAGGGAGAGCAGCACCCUCCCGAGCUCCUCCAUGCCGUGCCCCUUCUCCAAGUCCUGCGCCUCUCCUCUAGCUCCCUGCCGUCGUCCCCGGCGAGCAGUUCUGCUAGCAGCCACCAGCAGGACGGCCACGCUCGCGCCUCUCCCUCCUUUCCCUUUCUUUUCCUGUUGCCUUUCCCUCUCAUGCUCUCUCUCUCCCAGGUACGCCCGUGCAGGAGCCGCCAUCGCCAAGCUCUUGCGUGCGCGCCUGGGUCCGCCAUCCCCGGCUCCUCCGCGCUCGAUUCCCGUCGCUGCGCCAAGUCCCUCGCCCCGCCUCUGUUUCCCUGCUCCAAAUCGAACGCCAAGCCGCCGCCCUGGAGCUUCUCCGCCGCCGGCGCCCUCCUCCAGCAAGGCCCUCGUCCCGCUCGUCUCCGACACCAGCGCCGUCCGCUCCGGCAACCUCGACGUCGAGCUCCAGUAGGAACUGCUUCGCGCGCCCCUGUACCCGCGAGCGUCUGAGGCUGCGCCCUCCUCCUCGUCCAGCCCCUCCCCGUCGCCUGCAUCUCCUCCGGCAGCGCCGCCGUGCCCGCACGCCUAUGGCGAAGCUCCGGGAGCUCCGACGCCCUGGGGACCCGCGCCCCCGCCGGACCUCCUUCCUCCGCAUCCGGCCACGCCGGCGGCAAGCCCUGCCUCCGCCGCCUCGCCAAGUUUCGCCGCCUGAACCUCCCUGCAUCGCCAUGGCCGCCGGCCUCUGUUUUCCCCGCUCUUCGGUUUCGUUCCGGAGUUGUGAGGAUUCGUUCGACUACAUCCGUUUGUCUUCUUC